GUCCACGCCGUAAACGAUGGACACUAGGCGUCGGGGGGAGCGACCCUCCCGGUGCCGUCGCUAACGCAGUAAGUGUCCCGCCUGGGGAGUACGGCCGCAAGGCUGAAACUCAAAGGAAUUGACGGGGCCCGCACAAGCGGUGGAGCAUGUGGUUUAAUUCGAAGCAACGCGAAGAACCUUACCUGGGCUUGACAUGCUGGUGAAAGCCGGUGGAAACAUCGGUCCCUCUUCGGAGCACCAGCACAGGUGCUGCAUGGCUGUCGU
rnacentral:rRNA from 1 species